rnacentral:rRNA from 1 species
GCAGUAGCCACGGUAAUACAGAGGGUGCGAGCGUUAAUCGGAUUUACUGGGCGUAAAGCGUGCGUAGGCGGCUUCUUAAGUCGGAUGUGAAAUCCCUGAGCUUAACUUAGGAAUUGCAUUCGAUACUGGGAAGCUAGAGUAUGGGAGAGGAUGGUAGAAUUCCAGGUGUAGCGGUGAAAUGCGUAGAGAUCUGGAGGAAUACCGAUGGCGAAGGCAGCCAUCUGGCCUAAUACUGACGCUGAGGUACGAAAGCAUGGGGAGCAAACAGGAUUAGAUACCCGAGUAGUCCCUGUCUCUUAUAC